CUCCGCCGGCGACCGGCGCACGGGUGCGUAACGCGUAUGCAACCUACCUUUAACAGGGGCAUAACACUGAGAAAUUGGUACUAAUUCCCCAUAACAUUCGAGAAGGCAUCUUCUUGGGUCAAAAACUCCGGUGGUUAAAGAUGGGCAUGCGUUGUAUUAGCUAGUUGGUGAGGUAACGGCUCACCAAGGCAACGAUACAUAGGGGGACUGAGAGGUUAACCCCCCACAUUGGUACUGAGACACGGACCAA
rnacentral:rRNA from 1 species